CUGGACGGGGUCAAUGGGCGAUCAAUAAGACCCAUGGCCUAGGCUUGUGACCUUCAUUGCACUUUGGAGGGGUGCCUGCCUAAGGUCGGCCCAAGUGGUCGAGCCUACGUCAUAAUUUGUUGCUGUGGGGGCCUGCGUUCGCGCGGCCCCUGCCCAAUACUAAGAUCUAAAUUUGUUUGGUCAUAUAUUAAGCACGGCUCUAUAAUUGGGCUCCAAAAUAUAUUAAAUUGUUAUAUUAUAUAUUAAGUGUGAAUAAAAAAAUAUAGAAAGAUAAAUUUAGUUUGAAUAUGUCAUAAUACAUUCAUAAAGAAAAAAAUUGGUUAAACAAAAUAAAAUGCUAAUAAGAAUUGCUCAUGUUAUAAAGUGAGUGAAAAUGUUAUGAAAAGUUGUUCAUAUAUGAAUUUAUUUCAACUGUUCUCAAUAUAGCUGUUGUUUCUAUACUUGAUUUUGAUGCUUCCUGUAUGUAUUUUGUUCUUUGUUGGAUUCUGGAUAUGAGCUUGUGUAUUACCGUGUUUGAUGUCAUUAUCCAUCACAGAACUCGGCCUUUGUCAGUGGUCUUCUAAUGUGACAUAAUGCUGUUUUGUUCUCGAUGAUAACUCCUGUCUGUGAUGUCGUAAGACACUUAUUUUGCUUGUAUCCGUAUAUGGCUAUACAGAUAACACUCCUGUUAGCUGCUACUGUAUAUACAUUUUCACGUAAGCUUAUAGACUCUUGUUGAAGACGCAGAAUAAGGUUCUGAACAAAAUGAACCUGACAUAAGUCCGAAGAAGUUGAAAACCAACAUGACCUGAGGAAGCUGGUGAUGCUGCAGCGAUGCUAUAUAAGAAAUGUGUGUGUAUUAUUAUAUAUGUUAUCGAUAAUUCAUCCUUUCUUAGAGAAGUUGCCUUGUUUAAUCAAGACAACAACUCUUCAGUUGAUUGAGCCAUAUCCAUUUUCUUUGGAUAAUGUAAUACAAGAACAGAAAGAUUCUGAAGGAAAUCGCGCUGCUGUUAACAGUUGCCAUUUUGUUGGCUUGUUGCUCUAUAUGUUACUGAUUACUCGGAGAGUAACACCGUUUUCGACUAAUUCUCCCACAUCAGCAUCUGAGAGAGAAGUGGAGUAAAGACAGUAGUAUUAGUAAUGAGCUGAGCAGGCUGGAAAACUUACUUACCUGGACGGGGUCAAUGGGCGAUCAAUAAGACCUAUGGCCUAGGCUUGUGACCUCCAUUGCACUUUGGAGGGGUGCCUGCCUAAGGUCGGCCCAAGUGGUCGAGCCUACGUCAUAAUUUGUUGCUAUGGGGGCCUGCGUUCGCGCAGCCCCUGCCCAAAUCUACGCCCAAAAAUUUCUCUGGCCCAUCUGAAUUUUACAAAAACAUAUGUUUUCUCUGCCCCAUCUGUUUGAUAUAAGAUUAUUUCGACUACAUUAUCAAACACAACGAUAAGUGAUGUCUAUAUGACUAACAAUCUAAAAGUGCCAUAAGUCAAAGAAGGCGCGAUAAUGAGUCUUGGCUUCAAAGAUCAAAUAUUUGUCUUGAAAAUACAAACCAGCUACAGUACUAUUACAUUGGGCCUGAUCUUAUGGGUAGCGAAUACCUUUAGCAGAUGCAGGAGCUUGUGGAUGAUUCCAAGAGUUUGUGCUGCAUAUUCUUAAGUUUGGCAAAGGCCAUUAGUCUAAAAACUAAUACCUGUUUGAAGGACUAGUUACAGAUUGCUAAGUUCUAGAUGACUUACUUCUACAGAAAUUGGUUUACUAGAACAAUUGUUUAUAUGGCAUUGGUGAGAGUUGCUUUGGCUGAUCGAUACAAAACGAAGAUCUGCUGAAACAGAUAAGGGUAUAGCUGGUUUGCUUAUGGUCCUUUGGUUUGUAAGAUCAAUGGCUAUACAGUUAACAUUUUCAUGUAAGACUGAAGAAGUUGAAAACUAACAUGACCUGAGGAAGCUGGUGAUGCUGCAGCGAUGCUAUAUAAGAAAUGUGUGUGUAUUAUAUACGUUGUCCAAAAUUCAUCCUUUCAUAGAGAACUUGACUUGUUUAAUUAAGACAACACUCUUCAGUUGAUUGAGCCAUAUCAUCCAUUUAUAACUCAAAAUCUGAUUUUAUUAAUGUCUCUUGAAUGCUCUCUUUGAGUAUAGACUUCAGUUUUUUCCUCCAUUUCUUUUGAUGAUUGCCAUGUUACCAGAGACUAACUUUUUGUUAUCUAUGCCGGGGAGAAUGUCAGCGUGUUGCUACUUAGUUUAGCGAUGUUGUAUAUGUUACUGAUUACUCGGAGAUUAACGCCAUUUUGGACUAAUUCUCCCACAUCAGUAUCUGAGAGAGAGAAGUGGAGCAAAAGCAGUAGUAUUAAUAAUGGGCUGAGCUCACUGGAUUACAUACUUACCUGGACGGGGUCAAUGGGCGAUCAAUAAGACCUAUGGCCUAGGCUUGUGACCUUCAUUGCACUUUGGAGGGGUGCCUGCCUAAGGUCGGCCCAAGUGGUCGAGCCUACGUCACAAUUUGUUGCUGCGGGAGCCUGCGUUCGCGCGGCCCCUACCCAAACCUAAGUAAAAAUGUUCAUCUCUUUAGUUGAUUGAGUAGAGUAAUGCAUAUCUUAUUUAUUUAAAAUACCU
rnacentral:lncRNA from 1 species